UUGUAAAAAAUUAAGGAGUGGAUUCACAUUUUAAUUUGCCUAAUUGAUUGCCUUAUUACAAAGACUUGCACGCUGGCAAGCAUUUCCAUCGAACAAGUUACCAUUGCUUUUCAAUGAUCGUCAUCUAAUAGUUUGUAACCGUUGGUUACAAGUUCAACUUGUAGCUCCUCCACAAGUAUAUUUUAAAACCAUAUUUGCUCCCUAAACAUUCCCAUAUAUCCAUAAUAAUACGCCCUUUACAGAAAAACACAACCACUAACACCAUAAUGGAACAGCAGCUGCACUCAUAUGGCUUGGGGAGUGUAAAAGCGCUGUCCAACUCUCACACCUCGCACUGUUUGGGUGACAGAUUCGCUGUAUAACAGUUUGAACGGACAGGGCAAAAUAUCACCCAGCCCUUUAUUGUUCGCCAACAGAUGGAGUACUUAAAAAUAGGGUGUGUGGUCAAAUUGUAGACACAAAAAAAAUAAAAGAAUGCAAUUUAUGAUGCAACAACUGCAUUUCACAGGUGGGCAUUUUUAUUAUAAAAGCGCGGUAAGGUGAUUCAAUCACUCUUAUCGAUCGUGAUCUCUGAACAGAGUAGAAGUGCGCGCGUGUGUAGUGUUAGUAUUGUGAAGGUAAAAUUGUGAAGCCUUUUGUGUGGUGAAAUUGUUAAAAUCUUGGUUUGUUCUCUUUUUGUGUUAGGUCUUAAAGCUAUUGUUAGUAAAAUGGAAAGAAUAGAAAAGUUUUAGUAAACAUGCAUAAUACAAAAAUUAGUACGGUUAGUUAUUUGCUAAAAGUUAAAUAUUUCUAAAACUAAUGUGUUAAUUCCUAUAGCUAAAACGCAAAAGUUACUGUCCUUAAACUAAGACAAACAACAAAUAAUUUGAAGACAAACAAACAAGAAAAAGGUCCGGAAAGUGGACCUUUUUCUUCCGACCUUUCUUCUAUUUUCGACAGAAGUGUCCGGAGGCCGAUUUCCCGGAUACCAUCGCGUACCUCGCCGAUCGAAAGCCGUCAGUGACAACUCCGCCAUCUUUGUCACCAGUGACUGGCAAAACACAGCUACCAACCGUCAUCCCGGUAGCUCAAUUCCGCCAUCGUAGUCCUCGUCGACUGGCAACAGCAGCAUUACCAUCCCCAUCCCGGUGGUCUGAUUCCGCCAUCUCCGUCACCAUUGACUGGCCAAAACCCGCCACGAACAUCGUUAUCCGGUGGUACAUUUCCGCCAUCUGCGUCAACAUUGACUGGCCACACCACCACUACCAUCGUUACCGGUAGUAUGAUUCCGCCAUCUUCGUCAUAAUUGACUGGCCAGAACGGUAGCUUUCGCCCGGAGGCGACCAAACACUACCCAAGCAUGGACACCACGAAACCACAACAAAUGAUCCGGAUCACGCAAGUACCCCAUAUAAGUGACGUCAAUAAUAAAUUGUAAAAAUGUAAAAA